UACGUAGGGGGCAAGCGUUGUCCGGAUUUAUUGGGCGUAAAGAGCGUGUAGGCGGCCUGACAGGUCUGCUGUGAAAACUCGAGGCUCAACCUCGAGAUGUCGGCGGAAACCGUCUGGCUAGAGUCCGGAAGAGGAGAGUGGAAUUCCUGGUGUAGCGGUGAAAUGCGCAGAUAUCAGGAGGAACACCGAUGGCGAAGGCAGCUCGCUGGGACGGUACUGACGCUGAGACGCGAAAGCGUGGGGAGCAAACAGG
rnacentral:rRNA from 1 species